CUUGAAAAUGAUGGUGUUGCUUUUUAGAUAAGGUCUCUUUCAUGUUCCAAAGCCUGGAGCAUGUCCAAGUCGGUGGCAGCCACUCCAUCUAGUCUAUUGCAAGUCUUGAUGUCAAUAUUGAUCUUCUAAUUCGGAUGCCCCAGUCAUGGAGAUUGCUGAACAUUAUAAAUUUUUCAUUCGGAUGAUACCAACAGCUACAUGUGUGUUUCAUGUCUCGAGGUUGAAUUUAAUAAGAAAUAAUGUUCGUGCAUUCAGCCAAGGUGGUGUUACUCAAGCUACUCCAAAGUACAAUAGCAGUAUAAUGAAAGACAUGUUUUUGGAGGAAAAUGAAGAAUUUGUCAGAAAAGUUUAUCUUGAAUGGAAAACUCUCCAAAUCCAAGUAGCAAAUAUUUGUGGUUCAGCGGUUUCAGUGGGUCCUCAAUUUGAAUGUACAAUUUUUUUUUUUAUUCUAUG